rnacentral:lncRNA from 1 species
CCGAGCCUUAUCAAUCGGGUACAUGAUAUCUGCAUUUCAAGUCUUCUCUCAUGUCUUUAGGUCAAGUUUAUAUUUCUUCUAUGUUGAUUCUAACUAGCCUAUAAUUUUGUUGUUGUUGCUUUCAUAAAUGAGAUGUUUUCCUCAUUAUAUUUUCUAACUUCUUCUAGCUGAAUAUUAUUCCACUGUGUGAUAUACCACAUCUUGUUCAUCCAUUCAUCCAUCAAUGGGCACUUGGUUUGCGUCCACCUUCUGGCUGUUGUGAAUAGUGUUGUCACUGUGAGACCUGAGUAACUCCAUUUUAAAAUUUGGCCCCAUCUUAGAGUAAGGUGGCCUGGACAUAAAUUCUAGUUCCAAGAAAAACCACAAGAUGUACUUUGGCCACCUGCCUGUGAAUGUUCAGCGCAGUCCCCUAGCAACUAGCCUAGCAACAGCUAAUCAGUAGCUGCCUCAAUGUCCCAGAUGCUCUUCUCAUGGCCUGUGACAGCUAAUCAGUAGUUACCCCAAUACCCCAGUAUCCCAGAUGUUCUUUUCGAUGACUUGAGCAGCCGUUUGCAGUUCAGCGCACAAGGCACAGCCAAUCAGGUUUAAACUUUCAAAACUUGCUAAAUGCUAGCCAAUCGUGCGAUUUAUGUGUGAUUUAAAACCCCGCGCCUUGCUGUAACCUCUAGAAAAAUCCCUGGUGUUUUAGAGUCGAGACUCUCAGUCUUGACCCGCUGCGUCGGUGACAGUUGAGAGUCCCUGCUCGAGCUUGAAUAAACGACCCUCAUGUGCUUGCAUCGGAAACGGCUUCCUGGUGGUCUUUGGGACUUCGCAAUCUGGGCACAACAGCCACAAUAUGGGCUGUUUCCCACUCACCACCACACUGAUUUUGGAUACAGCAAGGGAGGAGUCAUGAGGAAAUUUAAAACAGCAACAGAGACAUGGGAAUUAUAAGGAAAAGAACACAGAACACUACUAGCACAUGCUGGUGUCUGACCCGCGUAAAUCAUCUAUCAAAUGGGAACAUUUCCAUCUUGUGUACCGUAUGGUGAUAGAAAUUUGGUAAGAUAAAACCAUGAAAAUAUUUAGAGAAGUAUUACACAAAUAUAAGUAGUCUUUGUUAUUGAAACAUUUAUGAAGAUACUAACGCCUCAGAGGAUUUUCUGAAAAGGGCUUGUUUGUAGUGUUGCUGAUGUAAGGUGUUCAAGAAGAAGAAAAUUAGAGUGAUUUUAAAAACAAGAGUAGUUAUUCCUGUCUUAAUCUAGA